CAGCAUAUUGAAGUAACAUUUUGCGAUUAGUUGUUAGUAUGCUCUCAUUCCGUGAUUUAUUUAUUCUUUAUCUUUAUAUUUGUGUUCAUUUAAUUGACCCAACUCAGCAAAAACAGAGCUGCUGUGGGAUUAUGCAAGAUGAGGAAACAAAUCAAUCUACGAGAAUACUAACUAGUUACUCGCACCAAUUUAUGCAAAAGUCUCAAUACAGAAUCACCAACUAACAAAUCUACCAGACUUUGAAUAAGUUUAUUUCAGAGACAAAAACGUAUAACAAUGGCAUUUUGUUGAACAAAUAUGAUUCAAACAUAGCAGUAUCUAGUAUUUAAGAAAAACCAUAUUCUUCCACCAGAAUACACUAAUAUUUCCUUACAAAAUUACAUUGUACUAAUAUUUUAUAUCUCUAGUUGGUGUGCAGUAUGUGGUAUAAAAACAUUGGAAGCAUAGAAGUAAUUUCUAUAAGUCAGUAAAACAGAAAUUAGUCCACGCUCUCAUUAUAAUAUACCCUUCAUCAUACAAACAACCCAGAUAUUAAAAUUUAUCCAUUCAAGAUAAACAAAGUUAUCGACUAAGAUUCGAACUAAUUUACCAUGUCAAUAUUGCUUGUAUUUCGGAAAGGUUAUUACUUGUAGUACUGGGUUUUAAUUUUACAUUUAAUCUUUCAAAAUGACGUAAGCAUUCCUUUGCGCAUGCUUCCCCCUUUUUGCUUGAAACUUCCCAGCGGGUUGGUCGCAUGAAAAUCCCCACCCACCCUCCCCAAAUUUUGUAUAGGUAAAUUUCCUGCACGGUUAAGAGGACUUUUUCUGCUGCGGAUUUUGCUUUAAAUUUCAGAUUCAGCGUCAUGGCUUCAUAAAGGGCCAUGUUGAGGGUACAUCAUUGUGCGGAAAGAGACAUUAUGUUGAAGCUGCAUCAUCGUGCGGGUCUGGCGGAAUUUUGCUAUCUAGAGAGCCAUUCACUGUUUCCAGGUCCUUCGGUGGUGUGGUUUUCUACUCACUUUUGAUAUGCAGCUAAAAAGCUUAUGGGAAGCUCGGCGCAUCUGUUGUAUGUUUAAUUGAUUCAUUAAAGCCAUGACAUUUAUCCAAAU